rnacentral:rRNA from 1 species
UAAUACGAAGGGUGCAAGCGUUACUCGGAAUUACUGGGCGUAAAGCGUGCGUAGGUGGUGAGUUAAGUCUGUCGUGAAAGCCCCGGGCUCAACCUGGGAAUGGCGAUGGAUACUGGCUCGCUAGAGUGCGGUAGAGGAGAGUGGAAUUCCCGGUGUAGCAGUGAAAUGCGUAGAGAUCGGGAGGAACAUCAGUUGCGAAGGCGGCUCUCUGGACCAGCACUGACACUGAGGCACGAAAGCGUGGGGAGCAAACAGGAUUAGAUACCCUGGUAGUCCACGCCCUAAACGAUGCGAACUGGACGUUGGGAGCAAUCAGGCUCUCAGUGUCGAAGCUAACGCGUUAAGUUCGCCGCCUGGGGAGUACGGUCGCAAGACUG